UGAGCAAUCUGCCCUUCUCAUCGGAAUAAGCGUUGGAAACGACGUCUAAUGCCGAAUACGACCUCCUUUCGCAUGAUCGGAGGUGGAAAGCUCCGGCGGAGAAGGAUGAGCUCGCGGCCUAUCAGCUAGUUGGUGUGGGUAAUGGCCCACCAAGGCGACGACGGGUAGCCGGCCUGAGAGGGUGACCGGCCACACGUGGGACUGAGACACGGCCCAGACCUCCUACGGGAGCAG
rnacentral:rRNA from 1 species